AUUGAACGCUGGCGGCAUGCCUUACACAUGCAAGUCGAACGGCAGCACGGGAGCAAUCCUGGUGGCGAGUGGCGAACGGGUGAGUAAUACAUCGGAACGUGCCCAAUCGUGGGGGAUAACGCAGCGAAAGCUGUGCUAAUACCGCAUACGAUCUACGGAUGAAAGCAGGGGAUCGCAAGACCUUGCGCGAAUGGAGCGGCCGAUGGCAGAUUAGGUAGUUGGUGAGGUAAAGGCUCACCAAGCCGUCGAUCUGUAGCUGGUCUGAGGGGACGACCAGCCACACUGGGACUGAGACACGGCCCAGACUCCUACGGGAGGCAGCAGUGGGGAAUUUUGGACAAUGGGCGAAAGCCUGAUCCAGCCAUGCCGCGUGCAGGAUGAAGGCCUUCGGGUUGUAAACUGCUUUUGUACGGAACGAAACGGCCUUUUCUAAUAAAGAGGGCUAAUGACGGUACCGUAAGAAUAAGCACCGGCUAACUACGUGCCAGCAGCCGCGGUAAUACGUAGGGUGCAAGCGUUAAUCGGAAUUACUGGGCGUAAAGCGUGCGCAGGCGGUUAUGUAAGACAGUUGUGAAAUCCCCGGGCUCAACCUGGGAACUGCAUCUGUGACUGCAUAGCUAGAGUACGGUAGAGGGGGAUGGAAUUCCGCGUGUAGCAGUGAAAUGCGUAGAUAUGCGGGAGGAACACCGAUGGCGAAGGCAAUCCCCUGGACCUGUACUGACGCUCAUGCACGAAAGCGUGGGGAGCAAACAGG
rnacentral:rRNA from 1 species